GACGAACGCUGGCGGCGUGCCUAACACAUGCAAGUCGAUCGGUAACGCGGGGGCAACCCUGGCGACGAGAGGCGGACGGGUGAGGAACGCUUGGGAAUCUGCCUAUCAGCGGGGGACAACACGGGGAAACUCGUGCUAAUACCGCAUACGCUCUACGGAGGAAAGCCGGGGACCGCAAGGCCUGGCACUGAUAGAUGAGCCCAAGCCGGAUUAGCUAGUUGGCGGGGUAACGGCCCACCAAGGCGACGAUCCGUAGCUGGUCUGAGAGGACGAUCAGCCACACUGGGACUGAGACACGGCCCAGACUCCUACGGGAGGCAGCAGUUGGGAAUAUUGGACAAUGGGGGAAACCCUGAUCCAGCGACGCCGCGUGGGUGAAGAAGGCCUGCGGGUUGUAAAGCCCUUUCGGUAGGGACGAAAGCUCUCGACCUAACACGUCGGGAGGUUGACUUAACCUACAAAAGAAGCACCGGCUAACUCUGUGCCAGCAGCCGCAGUAACAC
rnacentral:rRNA from 1 species